CGUGAAAAUUUCCUUAGGAAAAGACGUUCUUCGAUGUUUGGUCUUCGGGGGCUUUCAAGCCUUCUCGACAAGAUGGAGAUUUUGUCCGUGUAACAGAAAGUAGCCAACAAGUUCUAAGUGAUUGGAAAGGCAAAUUACUUGUUGGCUGAAUUGCCUUCUAAAGGUUAAGGUCUUGAAAGGCUUCAGUGACCUUAGACUUAGGGGAGGUUAGCAAGUCUUGGGAAGACGAGUGUACCACUGAUGGUGGACACAAAGAAUGCAGAAUUGAUGGGCACAAGGCCAUUUGGCAGAACCCUCAUGAAAAGGAACAAACUAACAAAGCCAACGCAUCAACUGUGCUGAAUCAGCUCUGGCUGGGUAAAAGAUAAUUCCAGCAGGGGCAGAUCAAGGCCAUCGACUCACGGGCAACAAUUCAAGAAACCACUGACUAAAGAGAAGGACUGAGCAUGCAGACUAAUUAGCAUGAGAAGCAAGAGGAUCAUUAACCAACAGCAGACAGACUACUAAUUAUUGUUAAAACUAGGCCAGUAUUCCUGGAGGGAAGUAUAGCACAAGGACUGUUGGACAAACAUCAUACCCUCAGGAACAACACCCUCUGCAACCUUGGACAUUGGCACAUUUUUACCACAGAGACCCAGUGUUUGCCAGAAGAGUGACGUCGUUUCUCCAUUUGUUUGGCUCCUGCAGUGACCCCUUUGGCCUUUACGUGGACAGGCCUUCUAACCCUUCGAUGCAGGACUCCAAGGAUAGGAUUACAGGUCCUGGCAGAAAUAUUGAGGAGAUAAAAAGGUGAA